UGAAAGCACUAUGGAAAUGCAAAUUAUGAUCAGCUGCAUUCAACACUGGUGGACAUGUUGGAAAUGGCUAGGUGAAUAACAUCAGCAGGACUCUCUGAAAGUCUGGCAGAAUUAAUGAUAUUCUCUUUCUUUCCCUAGUGAAACUCCCUACACCCCAGGGGCUGCUGGCACGACUCCUGGUAGUGGCCUCAUCCCCUUAUGCAGGAGAAGGACACGGAUGUGCUGCCUUGCAGUUACUACAGGCCCUGCACCAAAAUAUCCAUGUAGCAGUGGGUGAGACGUGGGCAGUAAAGAUCCCAUCUCUGCUGCAGUACAUUGAAGGAAACACAGAGAAUUCCCUGGACCACGCGCGGUGGGAGCACAUGCUGCUUCAGG